rnacentral:rRNA from 1 species
UAAAGUCAAAUUAAUUGGUUAAAGUUAAUAUAUAACGACUAUUAAGUACAACAACUCUACUUAUUAUUGUAAGAGUAAAAUCUUUAUAAAUAAGAUAGGAAUGUGUUAAUGUAACAUUAAUUCUCUUACGAGGCGCUAGCAUAAAGACUAGGAUUAGAUACCCUAUUAUGGGCGUGAGUAUGAAAGUUUAUUAAGUUAAUAGCCUUAAUUAAAGCAAAACCUAUUUACUAUGGCGGCUGUUAGUCUCACCAGAGUCGUAUGUCCUUAAACGAAACUGCGCGAUCAUCUUACCUUUUAACUUUUGCUAAUAUAAAAUAAUUACAUUAUAGCAAUCUGGCACGUCGCUGUACUAAAAGUGAAGAUUUUAAAUAACUCAUCUUCUAAUUACUUAUUAGCAUUUAUUAAUAACGUACAAGUCAAGACGCCGUUUUAAGAGGCUUAAGAUGUACGAUUUAAUUGAUUUGAUAGAAUUUAUAAGAAUGAAAACUUUCUUUAUUAAAAUAAUUUGGAAGUAAAAUAGGGUUAUUAUUCUUAUUUGAAAUGAGCUACUAAUAAGU